UCUAAUGUGGCAGAAUAGUGUGAUGGAUUUAAACCCCAUUUAUAAAGUCCCCCCCCCCUUUCUUUAGAA
rnacentral:tRNA from 1 species